rnacentral:rRNA from 1 species
GUGAACGCUGGCGGUAGGCCUAACACAUGCAAGUCGAACGGCAGCACAGUAAGAGCUUGCUCUUACGGGUGGCGAGUGGCGGACGAGUGAGGAAUACAUCGGAAUCUACUUUUUCGUGGGGGAUAACGUAGGGAAACUUACGCUAAUACCGCAUACGGCCUACGGGUGAAAGCAGGGGAUCUUCGGACCUUGCGCGAUUGAAUGAGCCGAUGUCGGAUUAGCUAGUUGGCGGGGUAAAGGCCCACCAAGGCGACGAUCCGUAGCUGGUCUGAGAGGAUGAUCAGCCACACUGGAACGGAGACACGGUCCAGACUCCUACGGGAGGCAGCAGUGGGGAAUAUUGGACAAUGGGCGCAAGCCUGAUCCAGCCAUACCGCGUGGGUGAAGAAGGCCUUCGGGUUGUAAAGCCCUUUUGUUGGGAAAGAAAAGCAGCAGGUUAAUACCCCGCUGUUCUGACGGUACCCAGAGAAUAAGCACCGGCUAACUUCGUG